CAGCUGUAAACGAUGCAGACUAGGUGUUUGGACGGCCACGUGCCGUUCUAGUGCCGCAGGGAAGCUGUUAAGUCUGCCGCCUGGGGAGUACGAUCGCAAGAUUGAAACUUAAAGGAAUUGGCGGGGGAGCACCGCAACGGGAGGAGCGUGCGGUUCAAUUGGAUUCAACGCCGGACAACUCACCAGGAGCGACGGUUACAUGAAGGCCAGGCUGAUGACCUUGCCUGAUUUUUCCGAGAGGUGGUGCAUGGCGUCAGUGACU
rnacentral:rRNA from 1 species